CACCAGCACGCCUUCCGUUCCACCCCGUCAGCCCCACAGGCCCGCCACGCUCCCUCGCCCAACGGUUCUCCUCGCGGCGGCGGUGGCCGCCGCCUCUGCUGCUGCUUCCCCCCCACACACACACACACUCCCCCGUCACGGACGGCACCCACCUUGUCGAGACAGUUCACCUUCUCGGUCGGGUAGACGAUCUUGCUGCAGCGGGCGCAGCUGGGGUUCAUGGUAGCCGCAGCGGGUUCUAGGGAACCAUGCACCAAGCAAAAAGGAAGCACCAGGACACUGGGGAAGAGGAAGCAGCAUAUAAUUUCUGUGACAUUUCAAGCUUACUGAACUUCUGCAGCAUUCCUCAUCACCACCACUUCUGUCAAGACUCCUGUGGAAUAAACUGUGAUUUGAAUGUCAGUGUCUCCUUGUUUUCUGAAUAAAUAACUUCCUUAAAUUGUA